AGAGUUUGAUCCUGGCUCAGAAUCAACGCUGGCGGCGNNCCUAACACAUGCAAGUCGAACGAGAAAGUGGAGCAAUCCAUGAGUACAGUGGCGUACGGGUGAGUAACACGUGGGUAAUCUACCCUUUGGUGGGGAAUAACUCUGGGAAACCGGAGCUAAUACCGCAUAAUCCUGAGAAGGAAAAGCAGCAAUGCGCCGAAGGAGGAGCCCGCGGCCGAUUAGCUAGUUGGUGGGGUAACGGCCCACCAAGGCAAAGAUCGGUAGCCGGCCUGAGAGGGCACACGGCCACACUGGCACUGAAACACGGGCCAGACUCCUACGGGAGGCAGCAGUGGGGAAUCUUGCACAAUGGGGGAAACCCUGAUGCAGCGACGCCGCGUGAGCGAUGAAGCCCUUCGGGGUGUAAAGCUCUUUCGGCAGGGAAGAUUAUGACGGUACCUGCAGAAGCAGCUGCGGCUAACUACGUGCCAGCAGCCGCGGUAAUACGUAGGCAGCAAGCGUUGUUCGGAGUUACUGGGCGUAAAGGGUGUGUAGGCGGCUCCUUAAGUUUGGUGUGAAAUCUCCCGGCUCAACCGGGAGGGUGCGCCGAAUACUGAUGGGCUAGAGUGCGGGAGAGGGAAGUGGAAUUCCUGGUGUAGCGGUGAAAUGCGUAGAUAUCAGGAGGAACACCGGUGGUGUAGACGGCUUUCUGGACCGUAACUGACGCUGAAACACGAAAGCGUGGGUAGCAAACAGGAUUAGAUACCCUAGUAGUCC
rnacentral:rRNA from 1 species